UUCUCUUCCAGAUCUUUGAAUCAGCUUUCUACACGGCUUAAGUGAUGGAACAGGAAAGACUCCAAUAUGGUAACAACGUGAUUUCUAGUGUUUUGGGUGAGGUUUGCCUGCUGAACAGCAAGACAAAAGAAGCUUAAAUUACAGAAGCAGAGAAGCAGAGACAGUCUAGAGGCUCAAUACAGAAAGAUUGUUUCACGUGUAAUGAAAAGCUAGUGUCCAGAUGAUCACUGCGGCCAGAUGGCAAUUUUGAUGCCCUCGUCACUAAGACUUGUCCAAGCCCUGAUGUAUGUGAAGCUCAUCAGGAGGGAAUGCUCGCAAGAAUCAGCUAACACAAUAGCAGCAAGCUUUCAGUGACAGCGUUCAGGAAGGGUGACGAUUCAGGCUGGGAGCAGGUAUGUCAUCACCUGACUUGACCACAUGUAACUUGAUGCUAGAAGUACACCACGUCCUCCCUCCCUGCAUGGCAAGAGAUUGCUCUCUUCUCCUGCAAAGGCAGCCAAAGUAACUUCUGUGUGCUGACUAGAGAGAGAAAACUUGGUGUCACUCCUCGCAAGUCCUGUGGCAGCCAGAUACUGUGUUAGCCACUCACAGGUAGCAUGUCUUUGGUAUCAGGGUGUAAGAGAAUGAACUCUGUAGGAGCGCUGCUGUCAUAGGCCACCAAGGGCCCGGGAUGCCUGGCUGAAAUUUGAUGUUGCAGAUACCUUGGUGUCACUGGAAUCCAUGGAGUUGACACAGUCCUCUGAUGGCUGGAUUUCGGCUUUCUAAGGGUAUUCCUUUCUGUUUCUCAUCUUUUCGGGUGAUAUUGCUUUGCUUUCCUUGGCUUUUUAGUAAUUCCUAUUUUGGUUAUUGUUUCUGGAAUGG